AUUGAACGCUGGCGGCAUGCCUUACACAUGCAAGUCGAACGGUAACAGGUCUUCGGAUGCUGACGAGUGGCGAACGGGUGAGUAAUACAUCGGAACGUGCCCGAUCGUGGGGGAUAACGAAGCGAAAGCUUUGCUAAUACCGCAUAAGAUCUAAGGAUGAAAGCAGGGGACCGCAAGGCCCUGCGCGAACGGAGCGGCCGAUGGCAGAUUAGGUAGUUGGUGGGAUAAAAGCUUACCAAGCCGACGAUCUGUAGCUGGUCUGAGAGGACGACCAGCCACACUGGGACUGAGACACGGCCCAGACUCCUACGGGAGGCAGCAGUGGGGAAUUUUGGACAAUGGGCGAAAGCCUGAUCCAGCCAUGCCGCGUGCAGGAUGAAGGCCUUCGGGUUGUAAACUGCUUUUGUACGGAACGAAAAAGUUCUUUCUAAUAAAGAGAGCUCAUGACGGUACCGUAAGAAUAAGCACCGGCUAACUACGUGCCAGCCGCCGCAGUAAUAC
rnacentral:rRNA from 1 species